GUCGGGAUGACCGAGCGGUCGAAGGCGUCAGACUCAACAUCUGGUCUCCGAAUGGAGGCGUGGGUUCGAACCCCACUCCUGACA
rnacentral:tRNA from 1 species